rnacentral:rRNA from 1 species
UUUCCCUAGGACUUUAUGUCCUCUAAAGAGCCGUUCGAGACUAGGACGUUGAUAGGUUGGAUGUGGAAGCAUAGUGAUAUGUGAAGCUGACCAAUACUAAUUGCUCGUGAGGCUUGACUAUACAACACCCAAGCAGUUG